UACGUAGGGGGCAAGCGUUGUCCGGAUUUAUUGGGCGUAAAGCGCGUGUAGGCGGCUAGGUAGGUCCGCUGUGAAAACUUGAGGCUCAACCUCAAGAGGUCGGUGGAAACCAUCUAGCUAGAGUCCGGAAGAGGAGACUGGAAUUCCUGGUGUAGCGGUGAAAUGCGCAGAUAUCAGGAGGAACACCGGUGGCGAAGGCGGUUCUCUGGGCCUUACCUGACGCUGAGGAGCGAAAGCGUGGGGAGCAAACAGG
rnacentral:rRNA from 1 species